rnacentral:lncRNA from 1 species
UUGAAAUUACUAAAGAUGCAAAACCAGAUUGGACAGACAAAGAAACUCUUCACUUGCUUGAGGCUGUCUUGCAUUAUGGGGAAGACUGGAAAAAGGUGUCUGAACAUGUUAGUAGUCGGUCAGAAAAAGAUUGUACUGCAAGAUUUAUAAGGCUACCUUUUGGAGAACAGUUCAUGGGACACAAGGAGGAUAGAAUGAGGUUUGAGAAUACUGAUGACAAUACUGAUGAGCCUGGAGCAAAUGUCUCAAAACUAUAUGGUCGAAAUUUUUAAACUUUGCUGCUCACAUUCUAGGACAAGCGCAGAUUCAUCAAUCGAACUUAAAUACUAAAAACAGUCCUAGGACAAGUAGCACUAACAUCUGUAUUUCUAAAUAGGUUUACUAUGAAAAUAUAUGAUGUGAUUAAUCUAACGAUAUCUAUUUGGUACCAUGAGUAUUAAUACUUGUUUUUGUAUAUAUUUAGUCAAUCUUAAGACCUGCUGAUUGACUUCUUAAUACUGUUGUUUUCAGGGUGAAAAGAUGGAUUGCGUUGCAAGAGUCUGAACUUACAGCAGUACCCAAAUUUUUUUGUGGAUAACUGCCUCCAUCGACUCUGCCUUAUGAGAUUCAUGAAAUAAACAUAGCUCGGGUCAAUAAAAAUAAUAAAUGUAUGUGAUCAGGCAGAUAUAAGUCUUUGUGGUAGAUGCUAUGUAAAUAAUAACUACCGGCCGGGCUUGUCUCCUGCUAACUUCAAGAGAGUUGAAAUUACUGAAGAUGCAAAACCAGAUUGGACAGACAAAGAAACUCUUCACUUGCUUGAGGCUGUCUUGCAUUAUGGGGAAGACUGGAAAAAGGUGUCUGAACAUGUUAGCAGUCGGUCAGAAAAAGAUUGUAUUGCAAGAUUUAUAAGGCUACCUUUUGGAGAACAGUUCAUGGGACACAAGGAGGAUAGAAUGAGGUUUGAGAAUACUGAUGACAACACUGAUGAGCCUGGAGCAAAUGUCUCAAAACGACUAUGUCUCACUCCACUAGCAGAUGCAAGCAAUCCGAUUAUGGCUCAGGU